GCCCUCGUGGGCCAGUGGUUAGGCCGCAGCUCUCCGGCAUCUACACGCCGAGCCAGGCUGAAGACCCGGGUUCGAGUACGCGUGGGCG